rnacentral:misc_RNA from 1 species
CCCUCAUCAGACUGAAAUGGCACUUAUAACACAUAUAUAUAUGCAAAGUUCUCAUCAAUAGAAACGGAUUAAGUUCAAACAGCAGGUAAUUGCUAUAAAUCGUUAAAGAGUUCCCUCGACUAACUUUUAUCUCCAUCAUCAGACUGUAAUGGCACUUAUAACUCAUACAGGUGCAAAGUUCUCAUCUAUAGAAACGAAUUAAGUUCAAAAAGCAGGUAAUUGCUAUAAAUUCUUAAAGAGUCCCCUCGACUAUCUUUCGUCUCCAUCAUCAGACUUUAAUGGCACUUGUAACUCAUAUAGGUGCAAAAUUCUCAUCAAUAGAAACGAAUUAAGUUCAAACAGCAGGUAAUUGCUAUAAGUCGUUGAAGAGUACCCCCGAAUAUCUUUCGUCUCCAUCAUUAGACUGAAAUGGCACUUAUAACUCAUAUAUAUGCAAAGUUCUCAUCAAUAGAAACGAAUUAAGUUCAAAAAGCAGGUAAUUGCUAUAAAUUGUUGAAGAGUUCCCUCGACUAUCUCUCUUCUCCAUCAUCAGAUCGACUCCAGACCUUUAUUAAAUAGUAGUGCUUUAUAGUACCUAAUGAAAACAUGAUUAAAUUUACUAGUCAUCCUUACGAUUUUUGAAAGUUUCCCUCGAUUUCUCUGGGAUCCCAUCAUCAGAUCCUGGUUUCCUUAUCAUGGUACCAAACUAUGAAUAUCUCCUUUCCAACAAAAAAAGAAUUAUCAAAAUCGGUUCAUAAACGAAGAAGUUAUCUCCGAACAUACAUAAAAAAAAAAAAAAAUAUAUACGCCAAAAAAAAAAAAAAAAAAAAAAAAAAAAAAAAAAAAAAAAAAAAAAAAAAAAAAAAAAAAAAAAAAAAAAAAAAAAAAAAACGAAAAGCACUACCUAUCUUUUCUCGAAGUGCUUCGUCGUUUUUUUGAACCCCCAUAACUUGGGUUUGGAUUAUA